rnacentral:rRNA from 1 species
AGUGAACGCUGGCGGUAGGCCUAACACAUGCAAGUCGAACGGCAGCACAGUAAGAGCUUGCUCUUACGGGUGGCGAGUGGCGGACGGGUGAGGAAUACAUCGGAAUCUACUUUUUCGUGGGGGAUAACGUAGGGAAACUUACGCUAAUACCGCAUACGAUCUACGGGUGAAAGCAGGGGAUCUUCGGACCUUGCGCGAUUGAAUGAGCCGAUGUCGGAUUAGCUAGUUGGCAGGGUAAAGGCCCACCAAGGCGACGAUCCGUAGCUGGUCUGAGAGGAUGAUCAGCCACACUGGAACUGAGACACGGUCCAGACUCCUACGGGAGGCAGCAGUGGGGAAUAUUGCACAAUGGGCGCAAGCCUGAUCCAGCCAUACCGCGUGGGUGAAGAAGGCCUUCGGGUUGUAAAGCCCUUUUAUUGGGAAAGAAAAGCAGCAGGUUAAUACCCCGAUGUUCUGACGGUACCCAAAGAAUAAGCACCGGCUAACUUCGUG